CAGCAGCCGCGGUAAUACGGAGGGGGCUAGCGUUGUUCGGAAUUACUGGGCGUAAAGCGUGCGUAGGUGGUGAGUUAAGUCUGUCGUGAAAGCCCCGGGCUCAACCUGGGAAUGGCGAUGGAUACUGGCUCGCUAGAGUGCGGUAGAGGAGAGUGGAAUUCCCGGCGUAGCAGCGAAAUGCGUAGAGAUCGGGAGGAACAUCAGUUGCGAAGGCGGCUCUCUGGACCAGCACUGACACUGAGGCACGAAAGCGUGGGGAGCAAACAGGAUUAGAUACCCUGGUAGUCCACGCCGUAAACGAUGGGCACUAGGUGUUCGGGGUAUUGACCCCCUGAGUGCCGCAGCUAACGCAUUAAGUGCCCCGCCUGGGGACUACGGCCGCAAGGCUGAAACUCAAAGGAAUUGACGG
rnacentral:rRNA from 1 species